AGUCCUCUUCAAUUGUGUGUCCUGCUCGGUUGGCAGACAGGCAAGGGGAGACGGGCUGCAGGGACGGCUGCAACAGAAGUUUGAUACCAACCGCGUGCUGAUGCUGGGUGCUCGCUGUGUGACUGUCUAGGAGUGGAAUUGGUCAGGUGUGCCCUGCUUGGUGCCACCACCCGAUGGCGAGCUAAGCCCAAGAAGGAGCCUCGAACACCAUCCUCCCACAGCAACAGCACUCCUGUGGUUCGGUAGGGGCUGCUGCAGCCAGUCUACUGCGGACUGUGAUUUAUCACCAGUGAGGUGAUUGGGUGGAGUACAGGUACUCCAGGUGUUUUCCUGGACUAGGACUGUUGCAUUUCUUUUGCUGUUGCUAUUGUGAAACUGUAAACUGAACUGUUUAUUUGUGGUCAGAACGAAUGGUUAAAACAAAGUGCACUUUUCCCUCUUCAAACUUCUCUAAUAAUUUCAAAUCAAGCUUGAACAAAGUCAUAUCUGCAGAUUGUAAAUAUUUUGGGGCUACUGUUUGAAUUCACUUUUUUCCCACUGUUAAUAAUAAGGCACUGGCCACUAAACCAUAAAUACUUGUCUGUGUUGUCUUUAUACUGCCACACGCACCUCCCAGAGCCGAACCUUAGCAUUUUCUGAUCUAGUCCAAUUACCACCUUAUAAAAUUAAUAAACUCAUACUCUUCUUAUUGAGCAUUA